rnacentral:rRNA from 1 species
UACGUAGGUGGCAAGCGUUGUCCGGAUUUAUUGGGUUUAAAGGGUGCGUAGGUGGUCAAUUAAGUCAGUGCUGAAAUAUCCCGGCUUAACCGGGAGGGUGGCAUUGAUACUGAUUGACUUGAGUAGAGUUGAGGUAGGCGGAAUUGACGGUGUAGCGGUGAAAUGUUUAGAUAUCGUCAAGAACACCGAUAGCGAAGGCAGCUUACUAAGCUCAAACUGACACUGAUGCACGAAAGUGUGGGGAUCGAACAGG